rnacentral:rRNA from 1 species
AUUGAACGCUGGCGGCAGGCCUACCACAUGCAAGUCGAACGAGUGGCGGACGGGUGAGUAAUGUCUGUGAAACUGCCUGAUGUAGGGGGAUAACUACUGGAACCGGUAGCUAAUACCGCAUCCCUUCGGAUGUGCCCAGAUGGGAUUAGCUAGUAGGUGGGGUAACGGCUCACCUAGGCGACGAUCCCUAGCUGGUCUGAGAGGAUGACAAGCCACAAUGGAACAGAGACACGGGCCAGACUCCUACGGGAGGCAGCAGUGGGGAAUAUUGAACAAUGGGCGCAAGCCGGAUGCAGCCAUGCCGCGUGUAUGAAGAAGGCCUUCGGGUUGUAAAGUACUUUCAGCGGGGAGGCGUUACCCGCAGAAGAAGCACCGGCUAACUCCGUGCCAGCAGCCGCGGUAAUAC